rnacentral:lncRNA from 1 species
GCGUGCCUUUAAUCUCAGCGUUCCGGAGGCAGAGGCAGAGGCAGGUGGAUCUCUGUGAGUUCAAAGCCAGUCUGGUCUACAGAGUGAGUUCCAGUAUAGACAAAGCUACACAGUGAGACCUUGUCUCUGAAAAAAGCAGCAUGGAGGCUUCUCAACAAACUCAAAGUGGAGCUGUCAUGUGGCCUGGCUCUGCUGCUCCUGGGGACUUACCUGGAGGACCAUUUUUCUUUUCCUUUACUAUUUUUGGUUUUUCAAGAUAGGGUUUCUCUGUGUAGCCUUGGCUGGCUUAGAAGCCACUCUGUAGACCAGGCUGACCUCGAACUCAAAAGAUCUGCCUGGCCCAGUCUUCAGAUGAGACCGACUGGGAUGAGGUGUGCCAACACUGCCCAGCCUAGGGUUUAUUUUUGUUGUUUAUUAAGUGUGUGUGUGUGUGUGUGUGUGUGUGUGUGUGUGUGCGUGCGCGUGUGUAUGCACAGACGUAAGUACAGAUAUCCACAGAAGCCAUAGAAGUCAGAUAACCCUGGAGGUGGAGAUAAAGGCCAUUCUGCUAC